rnacentral:lncRNA from 1 species
GUAAGUACUGAGAACUGCAUUCCCAGAGUUUUAACAACUUACAGAAAAGUGAAUUGAAUUUCUGAAGCCUGGGAAAUGAUAAGAGAGAGGUGAAAGAGAGAUAGUGUGCUAAUGACCCUAGAGAGUUUGAAAAACGUUAUGGUCAGGUCUUUUGAGAGAAUCUCCUAAAAGGAGAUAAUGGGCAUGGCUGAAUCUGUAAAGAAAGUAUCUUGCUAUCAAGUGCCUGAGAGCAUGGCAAUCAAGAACCAGCGGCAGUCAGCCAGAACCUGCCCCUGAAUAAUUUAAUGGAGAACUGGCAUCACUACUUGAUCGAGUCUUCCAGCUCCUGAACACAGACAUACAAAGAGAUGCCACCACACAUCUGUGGACAUAAAAGAAAGACCAUAUGAGGACAUAGAGUAAAAGCAGUCACACCUGACAGCCAAGGAGAGAAGCCUCAGAAGAAACCACCCUGCUGCUGACGCCUUUAUUUUGGACUUCUAGCCUCCAAAACUGU